GCCUGGCUGGCUCCUUCAGUAGAGCACAAGACUCUUGAUCUUGGGGUCAUGAGUUUGAACCCCAUGUGGGGCA
rnacentral:tRNA from 1 species